GAUGAACGCUAGCGGCAGGCCUAACACAUGCAAGUCGAGGGGUAACUAGAGUGAUAGCAAUAUUACUUUGGCUAGACCGGCGCACGGGUGCGUAACACGUAUGCAACCUACCUUAUACUGGGGAAUAACUUCGAGAAAUCGGCGCUAAUACCCCAUAACACUGCGGAGAGGCAUCUCUUUGCAGUUAAAGCUCCGGCGGUAUAAGAUGGGCAUGCGUUCAAUUAGCUAGUUGGUGAGGUAACGGCUCACCAAGGCUACGAUUGGUAGGGGUUCUGAGAGGAUGAUCCCCCACACUGGUACUGAGACACGGACCAGACUCCUACGGGAGGCAGCAGUGAGGAAUAUUGCGCAAUGGACGAAAGUCUGACGCAGCCAUGCCGCGUGCAGGAUGACGGCCCUAUGGGUUGUAAACUGCUUUUGUACGGGAAUAAACCCUUCUACGUGUAGGAGGCUGAAGGUACCGUAAGAAUAAGCACCGGCUAACUCCGUGCCAGCAGCCGCAGUAA
rnacentral:rRNA from 1 species